CCUACGGUGGGCAGCAGUGAGGAAUAUUGGUCAAUGGACGAGAGUCUGAACCAGCCAAGUAGCGUGAAGGAUGACUGCCCUAUGGGUUGUAAACUUCUUUUAUAUGGGAAUAAAAUGUUCCACGUGUGGGAUUUUGUAUGUACCAUAUGAAUAAGGAUCGACUAACUCCGUGCCAGCAGCCGCGGUAAUACGGAGGAUCCGAGCGUUAUCCGGAUUUAAUGGGUUUAAAGGGAGCGUAGGUGGAUUGUUAAGUCAGUUGUGAAAGUUUGCGGCGCAACCGUAAAAUUGCAGUUGAAACUGGCAGUCUUGAGUACAGUAGAGGUGGGCGGAAUUCGUGGUGUAGCGGUGAAAUGCUUAGAUAUCACGAAGAACUCCGAUUGCGAAGGCAGCUCACUGGACUGCAACUGACACUGAGGCUCGAAAGUGUGGGUAUCAAACAGGAUUAGAUACCCUUGUAGUC
rnacentral:rRNA from 1 species